rnacentral:rRNA from 1 species
UACGGGGGGGGCAAGCGUUGUUCGGAAUUACUGGGCGUAAAGGGCUCGUAGGUUGCCAACUAAGUCGGACGUGAAAUCCCUCAGCUUAACUGGGGAACUGCGUCCGAUACUGGAUGGCUUGAGUUUGGGAGAGGGAUGCGGAAUUCCAGGUGUAGCGGUGAAAUGCGUAGAUAUCUGGAGGAACAUCGGUGGCGAAGGCGGCAUCCUGGACCGGUAUUGACGCUGAGGCGCGAAAGCCAGGGGAGCAAACGGG